AUUUGCACUUCUCUGAUACAGUUCAGUUUGUUUUUCCCCGGAAUAGCACCGUACCGUAUAUUCACAAUUCGAAAUACAUGCAAUCACCGGAAAAUUGCGGCUGGUAAUCGCCGGACAAUUGCGGAUGGUGACCAACCCAAAUAGGUUACCGUCGUCGCCGGAGGAAGAAAUUAGAAACACGGCAACAUCAGUAAGGGCAAUGCUUCAGCUAUUGAAGUAUCGGUAUAGGAACACCAAGCUUCUGGAAGAAGCUCUUACACUCUAGCGGCGUAAUUACUAGCGGCUCGCGUUCGCCGGCGACGUCACUCUCGGCUUAGCUAUUUCGAGCUGUUUGUUCGUGACUUACCCUGACGUUGACUGUGGUAAGCUUACUGACCUCCGUUUUGCGACUGUAAGUACUGAAAAUCUUGCUAGAGUUGCCGUCCGGCACGGCCUCUACAACUACCAUUCCGCGGCGACUCGGCAAUCCUCAAUGAAAAGAGUAGAGAAAGAAAUAGGUCCUGCUCUUGAUAGGAGGUUUAUAUGCUCUGUGCAAAUUGGAAUUGCUGAAGGCAUGCUUUUGUGAUGGGAGACGAGAAGUCGCGAGUAAAAAAAGCAGAGAUUUCAGCACUUUAACAAUGAUCUGGAGUUUGCAGGACGAAACAGACAGCAGAGGACAGUGCAACUUGGAAGUAAAGCUUACUCAGGUUCUCUCUCAAUUCGUGCAAUAAUCAUCUUUGGUUGCUGCAAAGUGAAUAUAGGAAUACAAUGUUAAGCCCCACUUAAGAAAAUAGAUAGAAGAAGAGAGUACACCAGUUACUACAUGAAAGUGUAAAAGACAGCAGGACCUACAUCAUAGCAGACAGCUCUGGCCAAUUCAGAUUAAAAAAUUUCCAUGAAGCUCUUUACAUAAAUAGCAUAUUAGAAAAUUAACAUUGGGCCUAGAGCAAACCCAAAAGUUAGCUCAUGAGGUGAGGAUUUCCCAAUACCAUAUAAGAAGAUAAUUUUCCUUACUCCAA